UCUUUAUCCUCGUUAUCACUUCCACCAAACAAAACCACCAUUUUUCCCUUUCCCCAUCAAAUCCCCUCUUUGCUUCACUUUCACCAUCUUCUGAUCCAUUUCUUGCUUGCUUCUCACUAUUUCUCCACCAAAUCCAAAAACCCAAUUCUUCAUCUCUAUCUUCUUUCUUUUCCCUCACUUGCCCUCUCAUUUUCCUUCUUCCCAAUCACCCACGUGUGAAAAUAUCAAUCCAUUUCAUUCACUCUUAACAAACCCAAAUCCAAAUCUCUCUGUUUUCGUGUUUGGGGAUUUCUUUCUGGCCAUGGUUUCUUCCCCAUUUCUUCUUCCACUUGCUCUUCUUCUUUCUUUUAGCCUUCUCUUCGUCUUCCCUUUUAAGCAAUCCCAAUUCUCCUUCUUCGGCGAUCUUCAGGACCUUGCUCUCUUCCACACAGCCACUUUACAGUUACAGAACUCCCAUGGCGGCGGCGGCGGCGGCAACGGUGUUUCGUCCAUUUCGCGAUUAGGUAUCACUUCAAACCCUAAACCCAAGAUUGCGUUUCUCUUUCUUACUAAUUCCGACCUCUCCUUCGCCCCUUUGUGGGAACGGUUCUUCCACGGCCAUGGAUUGCGUUACAAUAUCUACAUCCACGCUGAUCCAACCGUCGAAUUAAACCCUCCCGGCGGCGUCUUCGACGGCCGAUUCAUUCCCGCCAGGAAGACUCAGCGUGCUUCGCCGACUCUCAUUUCCGCUGCUCGUAGGCUUCUCGCUCGCGCCGUCAUCGACGACCCACUGAACCUCUACUUUGCCCUAGUUUCUCAACACUGUAUUCCUAUCCAUUCAUUUGAUUUUAUGUAUAGUUUCUUGUUUAAAAACUCAAUUGCAUCUCUUCGAUCCUUCUCUUCUAAGUCUAAUUACAAAAGCUACAUCGAAAUCCUCUCCGAUGAACCGAAUCUAUACGAGCGGUACACUGCUAGGGGAGCCACUGCGAUGCUCCCUGAAGUGCCGUUCGAGCGAUUCAGAGUCGGAUCACAGUUCUUCACUUUGACUCGCAACCAUGCGGUGCUGGUGGUGAAAGAGAGAAAAAUCUGGAAGAAGUUUGAACUGCCGUGCUUGGGCGAGGAACCGUGUUACCCUGAGGAACAUUACUUUCCGACAUUGUUGUCCAUGAAGGAUCCGGAAGGCUGCAGUCACUACACGCUAACUAGGGUUAAUUGGACAGGAUGUUGGGAUGGACAUCCGCACUUGUACUCGCCGGAAGAGGUCUCACCGGCGCUCAUACACACGUUGAGGCGGUCGAAUUCGAGCUACUCUUACUUCUUUGCCAGAAAAUUCUCGCCGGAAUCCUUGACGCCGUUGAUGCAAAUCGCCGAUGACGUCAUUUUCCGGGACUGAAGUACUGUCGUCUUGUUUCUCCUACCGUUAUGCCAAAUAUGCUUCACUUCAAGGAUACUCUCUCGCUUCAUGGAGAUUGACUAACAAUUGCAAGAACAUCAAAUACACGAAGUGACUUGAUUUGUCAGAAAAUAGAUUUUCACCCAUCAUCUGUGGGGUCACACUGAGUAGUGUUUGACAAAUAUUCAAUCAAUCAUCAUGUAUUACUCUGGUAACAGGCUUGUCGUCAACAGGUAACUUAAAUAAUACUUCUGUGUCUUGUAACGUGAUAGUACAGUCUCUAGUAGGCACAUGAAACAUAUGCGUCUUUAGCUUUCAUCUUGAGAUGCCGAUCUAACUGAAUGAAUCCCAAUCUGGUCACCUCAUAAAAUACUGAUGUAUAAAUAGUGGUAGUAUUCUAUGGAGUGGGAUAGUGCAAUAAACAACCGUCUCUCGACGUCUAGAGUACAUCUUGCUUGUAGUACGAUUUUGCCAUACAAUUGAUGAUCGAUGAAUAGAUUGAUCAUAUAAGACAUUAGGAUCAAUCGAUCGUGGGUUUAAAGCCAUGAUCUAAAAGAAAAUAUUAUUUAUUUUUCGGGUAAAGCAUACAAAUAAAUUAGAAUUUGAAUACUAAACUAUGAUAAAAAUAUUAAUUUCACAAUAAAAAUAUCAAUUAUAGGAUAAUAUGAACAAUCAAAGGUCCUGACUGAUACUUGUCUUUAUAAUGGACAUUUCCUUUGAUUAUGAAUUAAUUAAUUACAAAAUCUUCACGGUACUUGAGCAUUGGGUUUUGUCCAUGUUAUCGUGAACUCUUUGGUCUACUAGAUCUCCUCAACAACGAUGGGUGAUGCGUGAUCCAGUAAUAUUCAUAUGGUACCGGUUGAAAUUGAGAAGAGUAGCCUGCAACAUAUGUUUGCAAUUUAUAGGAAUCUUCAAUGAAAUCUUCGUAGUUCAUAUUAAAUCAUGAGCAAACCACCAUAAAAUGCAAGCGUUAACCACCCUAAAAUGCAAGCAUGGAUGCUAAACGCUUGCCAUUUGUUAUGUGAACAAUAUUGCUUUGACCUAAUUAGCUUCAAUAUUUGAACAUUUUUUCUAGCA